UGGGGAAUAUUGGACAAUGGGCGAAAGCCUGAUCCAGCCAUGCCGCGUGUGUGAAGAAGGUCUUCGGAUUGUAAAGCACUUUAAGUUGGGAGGAAGGGCAGUAAAUUAAUACUUUGCUGUUUUGACGUUACCGACAGAAUAAGCACCGGCUAACUCUGUGCCAGCAGCCGCGGUAAUACAGAGGGUGCAAGCGUUAAUCGGAAUUACUGGGCGUAAAGCGCGCGUAGGUGGUUCGUUAAGUUGGAUGUGAAAUCCCCGGGCUCAACCUGGGAACUGCAUUCAAAACUGACGAGCUAGAGUAUGGUAGAGGGUGGUGGAAUUUCCUGUGUAGCGGUGAAAUGCGUAGAUAUAGGAAGGAACACCAGUGGCGAAGGCGACCACCUGGACUGAUACUGACACUGAGGUGCGAAAAGCGUGGGGGAGCAAAACAGGA
rnacentral:rRNA from 1 species